AGUGAACGCUGGCGGUAGGCCUAACACAUGCAAGUCGAACGGCAGCACAGUAAGAGCUUGCUCUUACGGGUGGCGAGAGGCGGACGGGUGAGGAAUACAUCGGAAUCUACUUUUUCGGGGGGGAUAACGAAGGGAAACUUACGCUAAUACCGCAUACGACCUACGGGUGAAAGCAGGGGAUCUUUGGAGCUUGCGCGAUUGAAUGAGCCGAUGACGGAUUAGCUAGUUGGCGGGGUAAAGGCCCACCAAGGCGACGAUCCGUAGCUGGUCUGAGAGGCUGAUCAGCCACACUGGAGCUGAGCCACGGUCCAGACUCCUACGGGAGGCAGCAGUGGGGAAUAUUGGACAAUGGGCGCAAGCCUGAUACAGCCAUACCGCGUGGGUGAAGACGGCCUUCGGGUUGUGAAGCCCUUUUGUUGGGAAAGAACAGCAGCAGGUUAAUACCCCGCUGUUCUGACGGUACCCAAAGAAUAAGCACCGGCUAACUUCGUG
rnacentral:rRNA from 1 species